AUUGAACGCUGGCGGCAUGCCUAACACAUGCAAGUCGAACGAGUGGCGGACGGGUGAGUAAUGUCUGGGAAACUGCCUGAUGGAGGGGGCUAACUACUGGAAACGGUAGCUAAUACCGCAUACUAUCGGAUGUGCCCAGAUGGGAUUAGCUAGUAGGUGGGGUAAAGGCUCACCUAGGCGACGAUCCCUAGCUGGUCUGAGAGGAGGAUCAGCCACACUGUGACUGUGACACGGUCCAGACUCCUACGGGAGGCAGCAGUGGGGAAUAUUGGACAAUGGGCGCAAGCCUGAUGCAGCCAUGCCGCGUGUAUGAAGAAGGCCUUAGGGUUGUAAAGUACUUUCAGCGGGGAGGCGUUACCCGCAGAAGAAGCACCGGCUAACUCCGUGCCAGCAGCCGCGGUAAUUC
rnacentral:rRNA from 1 species